rnacentral:pre_miRNA from 1 species
UUGCUGUGGUUGCAGGCCCUGCCCGCCUGCUCGCCCGCGACGGGAGGCUUAGGGCGGAGGGAAGCUGGUCCGUUGGUCAACGGGAACGAGG